rnacentral:rRNA from 1 species
GAUGAACGCUGGCGGCGUGCCUAAUACAUGCAAGUCGAGCGAACGGACGAGAAGCUUGCGUCUCUGAUGUUAGCGGCGGACGGGUGAGUAACACGUGGAUAACCUACCUAUAAGACUGGGAUAACUUCGGGAAACCGGAGCUAAUACCGCAUCAUAUUUUGAACCGCAUGGUUCAAAAGUGAAAGACGGUCUUGCUGACACUUAUAGAUGAAUCCGCGCUGCAUUAGCUAGUUGGUAAGGUAACGGCUUACCAAGGCAACGAUGCAUAGCCGACCUGAGAGGGUGAUCGGCCACACUGGAACUGAGACACGGUCCAGACUCCUACGGGAGGCAGCAGUAGGGAAUCUUCCGCAAUGGGCGAAAGCCUGACGGAGCAACGCCGCGUGAGUGAUGAAGGUCUUCGGAUCGUAAAACUCUGUUAUUAGGGAAGAACAUAUGUGUAAGUAACUGUGCCCAUCUUGACGGUACCUAAUCAGAAAGCCACGGCUAACUACGUG